rnacentral:rRNA from 2 species
CAGCCGCGGUAAUACGGAGGAUCCGAGCGUUAUCCGGAUUUAUUGGGUUUAAAGGGAGCGUAGAUGGAUGUUUAAGUCAGUUGUGAAAGUUUGCGGCUCAACCGUAAAAUUGCAGUUGAUACUGGAUAUCUUGAGUGCAGUUGAGGCAGGCGGAAUUCGUGGUGUAGCGGUGAAAUGCUUAGAUAUCACGAAGAACUCCGAUUGCGAAGGCAGCCUGCUAAGCUGCAACUGACAUUGAGGCUCGAAAGUGUGGGU